GUCUUGUAAUUGGAAUGAUGGUGACCUAAACCCUCACCAGAGUAACAAUUGGAGGGCAAGUCUGGUGCCAGCAGCCGCGGUAAUUCCAGCUCCAAUAGCGUAUAUUAAACUUGUUGCAGUUAAAAAGCUCGUAGUUGAAUUUUUGCGUCACCGUGUAUCGACAUUUGUCGUUUAUCGGUUUCGCUUUUGGGAUUUAUCCCUUUUUACUUUGAGAAAAUUAGAGUGUUUCAAGCAGACUUUUGUCUUGAAUACUUCAGCAUGGAAUAAUAGAGUAGGACUUUGGUUCUAUUUUGUUGGUUUGUGAACCUUAGUAAUGGUUAAUAGGAACGGUUGGGGGCAUUCGUAUUUAACUGUCAGAGGUGAAAUUCUUAGAUUUGUUAAAGACGAACUACUGCGAAAGCAUUUGCCAAGGACGUUUUCAUUAAUCAAGAACGAAAGUUAGGGGAUCGAAGACGAUCAGAUACCGUCGUAGUCCUAACCAUAAACUAUGCCGACUAGGGAUUGGAGGUCGUCAUUUUUCCGAAUCUUUAAUUCUG
rnacentral:rRNA from 1 species